GACAACAAAAUAAUGGUUGCUGAUCUAAUUUCCUUAUGGAAGGUUUUUUGUUGUUGACCAGACCAAUGUGAGAUGCCUUUCUAACUGAACCAAGAAAAGUAUAGAAGAAUAUGAGACUGGACAAGUUGAGUGGGUAAAUUGUGAUCUUCAAUAUCUUGGCAAGAGGAGAGUCUAAUAUACUUGAAGGUUUUCCAGGAAACUGUGAAAAAGGUAUUUCACACCUAAUAUCAAACACCAGGGGUUUGAAAAAAAACAACAAAGUGCAACUAAUACUGUUACCUUUAUACAUGAUAGAUUUGCUGUUUUUCAACCCAGACAAUAGACUGUCCUCCCCAAGAAAAGCAACAGCAUCUGUAGUUUCAGCAAGUGCCUCAAAGCAACAUAUGUUUACGCUUAAGUGACAGAGCCCUCUAUAGAGUGAGGAUUGGGUCUAGAAAACAUCUAACACAGGAGACAGCUGUGUUUCCCCAUUUCCAACCGACUGCGUUUUUUUUAAAGCACAACCAUGGUCGUUCCCUAACCUUAACACUUUGUUAUUCUAACCGUGACAAUGAAGCUCCUGUAACCUUGAUGUAAUUUUAAGCCAAACCAAACCUUAACUUUAGCAUUUGUCAGAUUUAUUUUGCAACAGUGAUUUGUAUGGUUUUGAAAGGCACAUAAAUGUCAAAUGAUGAUGUCCUGCUGAUAUGGAUGUCAGACCAGAAAAUGUUUCUACUGUAUGUGUUACAACAACACCACAUAUACAAAACAGCAACAGAAAUUUCCAUAACCACAACAGUAUGUGGCAUUCUAGAGGACAAUUUAUUUUGUAGUUUAAUUUGGAGGUCUUGUUAUUAAAUCGUUUUUGUCUAUUAUUUUUGGAAA